UGGGGAAUAUUGGACAAUGGGCGCAAGCCUGAUCCAGCAAUGCCGCGUGGGUGAAGAAGGUCUUCGGAUUGUAAAGCCCUUUCGGCGGGGACGAUGAUGACGGUACCCGCAGAAGAAGCCCCGGCUAACUUCGUGCCAGCAGCCGCGGUAAUACGAAGGGGGCUAACGUUGCCCGGAAUUACUGGGCGUAAAGGGCGCGUAGGGGGCCCUGCAAGUCAGGCGUGAAAGUCCCGGGCUUAACCCGGGGGG
rnacentral:rRNA from 1 species